ACAUUCCUAGCGGCUGCCUCUUACCCCAUCUUCUUCUCCUACUUUAAGCAAAAUUUGUCCAUCGUCUCUUGAAAUCCAAAGCUUGUCACUCCAUUUUGAUACAAAUCCCAUCUCUCUCACAUGUGGUCUCCUUUUUCGAGCAAGUAGGAAUAGUCAAACCAAAUCUUACUCUUUUGUAAAAUAGCAAGAACGAAUCUCUUCCACUCUGAAGCAAACAAAGGAUUUGGUCAAAUUUUCUUCAAAAGAAUCCAAAACUCUUCUCCCAACAAUAGCGAAGUUUCACUCUAUGGGUAGGGUUUACCUCUAGCUAUCUCGAUUUCUUUGUACUUUGUUGCCAUUUUCAUACUUUGAAUUCUCAAACGGACAUAUUCAAAAGCUUUGCUCGUGACACCCUUUUGAAUAAUUUGAAAUUCAAAUUCGAACUCUAGCUCUGGGUCUAAAUCUCUCCCUAUAAAUAUAUCUUGUUGCAAUUCAAGAAGGGGAGAUUUUUUUGGCUGCCACCAUUUCGGAACUUCAAGAUUCUUAAAGUUAUUUAGUUCAAUUAAAAGGCUUACACGAGGCUUUAGUCGCCCCCUAACACCACUAUUUUUCUUACUCUUAUCAUUGUUGUCGUCCCUUAAAAUCUCUAAGAAAACACUUUCAAACAUUUUAUUUUAUUUUGUCUCGGAAUACUUUAACCGCGAUAGAGGUGCUCGAACCUACUCGGCUCAAGGUUCGCAUCUAUUCAUGACGAGAAAGUAGAUUCGAGAUCGUGCCCCGGUUCGCUGCCCCACAACAGAGCAAAUGGAGUCUUAAUUCGAGACACUCGCAGUGGAGUCUCAUAGAGACUCAACGCUACCACCACCACAUGGAGUCAUUGCAUACCAUCUUCCUUAGAGCAUCGGAUAGCAAGAAAAAGAAACAAGCCAAACGCUUGGGACGCCUAUGGCGUUCUUAUUCUUCCUUUACUAUGUGUUACAUUUAUUGUUAUGAUUGCUGACUAACUUGUGUUUUGGAAUUUAUCUCAAGUGUGAGAUUGUGUUAAAAACUCAUGUUUAAUGUAGAUUUAACAAUGGAGUCAUUUUAAUCAUAAAGAUUUUGUGUCUA